UCCUCCAAAAAAUACAAGAACGAAAGA
rnacentral:piRNA from 1 species